rnacentral:rRNA from 1 species
CCUACGGGAGGCUGCAGUGGGGAAUAUUGCACAAUGGGGGAAACCCUGAUGCAGCGACGCCGCGUGAGUGAAGAAGUAAUUCGUUACGUAAAGCUCUAUCAGCAGGGAAGAAACACUGACCUUACGGUCAGCAGACGGUACCUGAGUAAGAAGACCCGGCUAACUACGUGCCAGCAGCCGCGGUAAUACGUAGGGGGCAAGCGUUAUCCGGAUUUACUGGGUGUAAAGGAAGCGUAGACGGUGCGCCAAGUCUGGAGUGAAAUGCCGCAGCUUAACUGCGGAACUGCUUUGGAAACUGGCGAACUAGAGUGCGGGAGGGGUAAGCGGAAUUCCUAGUGUAGCGGUGAAAUGCGUAGAUAUUAGGAGGAACACCGGUGGCGAAGGCGGCUUACUGGACCGUAACUGACGUUGAGGCUCGAAAGCGUGGGUAGCAAACAGGAUUAGAUACCCGAGUAGUC